GCACCGUCGCGAAGCUGAGCAGUUCACGGAGCUGCAACUGAAAGAGUUAACAAUGAAGGCCCCUAUCCCUCCGUCGAGAGUGGUUGCAAUAGCAAUAGCAAUAGCAUCCUUAUCUAUCGUUCCCUCUUCUUCGUGCCAAUUGGCAGAUCUCAAAUCGGACUCCAUCAACACGUGUUACUUCUCGUCACCAUUCCCUGGUCUGGCGAGCCUCGCUCUCUUAUGAAGCAUGUUUCACUCGUGGUUGCUGAUAAGCCUCACGAGUUUGGCAAUUUAAAACUCAUGUUUAUUCAUAGAAACACAGAGAAGAUGCUAGCUGAUUCCAUAGGUGCUACUGCUACUGAUGAAAUAACAGUAAUUUAUUUCCAUUAUUCUGUAUCUUACAAGUACAGAGGAAGACUUAGAGCAAAUAAUAUAUUGUCUUCAUUGUAUCAUUAUAUGUCCCUUGCGCCUGAGGAGUUUCCCCUCAAAGCCCUCAACACUCCUCAAGAUUUCACAACAUUCCUUGAUUCAACUGAUGAGGCUCUAGUUCUUGUUGACUUUUGUGGAUGGACUCCAAAGUUGCUUGCCGAAAAUAAGAUGAAAAAUGGAACGGUUAAUGGUUUCAGCAUGCACGCCCCCCAAUAGAAAUUCCUGGUUCCGCCAUUGCAUGUUGAAUCAAUGAGACAAUGGAUCUGAGCCUUGUGUGGGUAUAUAGUAAGCAGCCUUACUUUGGAGCUGAUUAUAUGAUUUGAGCCGGUCACCUACAGGUCAUGUGGCGACAACACCAACCAUUGUGCCGAGGCUUCCUUUCUCUUUUUGUAUACUUAUGUUAUGCGUAUAUAUAUUUUUUGGAAUGUAUUAAUUGUCGUAACCCUCAGCAGAAGGUGAGUCACUGUAGGUAUGUGGAUUUUUUCCUUGUAGGGGAUCACCUUGGAAUGGGCUUUAGUGGAGGUAAUUAUAGAAUAUCAGUAUCAAGGGAGAAGACUAACCAGAAGGUGGCUGGUAUUAUCUAAGUGCAUGACAAUAUGAAAUUUUUGACCUUAAAUAAUAAAUUCAUCAUUUCACCCUUUUCUGUUUCCCCAAAUCAUCAGAGGAUGACAUGUGCAAGACUGAACUCAGCUUUGAGAAAGGGUUUUGUGAAGCUCCUUGGCUUGGGGAGUUUACCUCAGUAAAAGGUGGUCCUUUGGAAGGCUCCAAGGACAGGAAUCAUCAUGUUCUUAAUUCCUGUUCAUUUGAAGAAUUUGAGCGUUUCCAUUCUUUCUACUUGAAAUUCAUGACUGCUGCGAAAGAAUUCUUUCUGCCUCCGGAACGACAUAGAUUUGGACUGGUUUCAGAUAGGUCCAUGCUUUCAUCCUUAGGUGUUGGUGAUUCUGGUUCAUGGUUUGCUGUUCACUACCUUGCUGGAUGCUCAAGUUGUUCAAAAAUUCUUAAAGAAGAGGAUGACUUGAAGUAUGUUUCGCAGAUGAAUAAUUAUAUUGUCAAAGAGGUGAAUAAAACCUUUCUAAAUUUUGUUUCAUGUUCUGCAGUUUAUGCCAUAAUGUUAUAUUUCUAUAUGGUAUAAUGUUCAUGUAACAUGAUACACAUAUUUCUCAUCUUUUAUUAUUUAUUUUUUUGUAAAGUUAA